rnacentral:tRNA from 1 species
GAGGGGAGGUUUAAACCAACAAGAACUGCUAAUUCUCGUGCCUGAGCCUAAAACCUCAGUCCCCUUA